rnacentral:sRNA from 1 species
AAGGGCACAUCUAGGCCCCCUGAGAGCACCUCCUUUCUGUGUCUGUUCUCAGGAAUGCUGUUGAGCUCUCCUGUUGCAGGAGCAUGAGCGCCAGGGGCUCUGGUGUCUGAACAGCGUGUUUUGCAGGAUGACUUUGACAACGAUGUGGAUGCUCUGCUGGAAGAAGGCCUUUGUGCCCCCAAAAAGAGGCGAACAGAGGAAAAAUAUGGCGGAGACAGCGACCAUCCGUCCGAUGGAGAGACGAGUGUGCAGCCGAUGAUGACCAAGAUUAAAACAGUGCUCAAAAGUCGUGGCCGCCCACCUACAGAGCCGCUGCCCGACGGGUGGAUCAUGACAUUCCAUAACUCUGGAGUCCCGGUGUACCUACACAGAGAGUCUCGGGUGGUCACCUGGUCCAGGCCAUACUUCUUGGGAACGGGAAGCAUACGGGUAGGGGAGGCAUCAGUCGUGACUUUAGGCUUGUAAGUUCUCAGACCAAAACGUGCACAUCCACACACAUGGCACCGCAGCCAAGCAGAGGCCGGUGAAAGGCAUCAGAGUUUCAGACUCUCGGGUUGUCCUUGUAAUCCAUAUUGCAAUUUCACUAUCCACAGAAACACGACCCUCCUCUGAGUAGCAUCCCUUGUCUGCAUUAUAAGAAAAUGAAGGACAACGAGGAACGGGAGCAAAGCAGUGACCUCACCCCUAGUGGGGAUGUGUCCCCCGUCAAGCCCCUGAGCCGAUCUGCAGAGCUGGAGUUUCCCCUGGAUGAGCCUGACUCUAUGGGUGCUGACCCGGGGCCCCCGGACGAGAAAGACCCACUAGGGGCUGAGGCAGCCCCUGGGGCCCUGGGGCAGGUGAAGGCCAAAGUCGAGGUGUGCAAAGACGAAUCUGUUGAUCUCGAGGAAUUUCGAAGCUACCUGGAGAAGCGUUUUGACUUUGAGCAAGUUACUGUGAAAAAAUUCAGGACUUGGGCUGAGCGGCGGCAAUUCAAUCGGGAAAUGAAGCGGAAGCAGGCGGAGUCCGAGAGGCCCAUCUUACCAGCCAAUCAGAAGCUCAUUACUUUAUCAGUGCAAGAUGCACCCACAAAGAAAGAGUUUGUUAUUAACCCCAACGGGAAAUCCGAGGUCUGCAUCCUGCACGAGUACAUGCAGCGUGUCCUCAAGGUCCGCCCUGUCUAUAAUUUCUUUGAAUGUGAGAACCCAAGUGAGCCUUUUGGUGCCUCGGUGACCAUUGAUGGUGUGACUUACGGAUCUGGAACUGCAAGCAGCAAAAAACUUGCGAAGAAUAAAGCUGCCCGAGCUACACUGGAAAUCCUCAUCCCUGACUUUGUUAAACAGACCUCUGAAGAGAAGCCCAAAGACAGUGAAGAACUCGAGUAUUUUAACCACAUCAGCAUCGAGGACUCGCGGGUCUACGAGCUGACCAGCAAGGCUGGGCUGUUGUCUCCAUAUCAGAUCCUCCACGAGUGCCUUAAAAGAAACCAUGGGAUGGGUGACACGUCUAUCAAGUUUGAAGUGGUUCCUGGGAAAAACCAGAAGAGUGAAUACGUCAUGGCGUGUGGCAAGCACACAGUGCGCGGGUGGUGUAAGAACAAGAGAGUUGGAAAGCAGUUAGCCUCACAGAAGAUCCUUCAGCUGCUGCACCCACAUGUCAAGAACUGGGGGUCUUUACUGCGCAUGUAUGGCCGUGAGAGCAGCAAGAUGGUCAAGCAGGAGACGUCGGACAAGAGUGUGAUUGAGCUGCAGCAGUAUGCCAAGAAGAACAAGCCCAACCUGCACAUCCUCAGCAAGCUCCAAGAGGAGAUGAAGAGGCUGGCUGAGGAAAGGGAGGAGACUCGAAAGAAGCCCAAGAUGUCCAUUGUGGCGUCCGCCCAGCCUGGCGGUGAGCCCCUGUGCACCGUGGACGUGUGAGGGAGGUGGCACGGGCCAGGGCGCGGGGGCCGCCAGCCGCACUUCUGAGGAGACCAGCAGUCAUGCAUCGUGCACCAGUGUCAGGCCUCCAACCCACGCUCCUUCCCUGUGGCCAACUUGUGGGCCCGGCCUUAGGGUGGAGGCUUUGGUGUACAGGGACAGCCAUGGCCACACAGCACACAUGUGGAGCAGCGGCUCUCCCUGGAAAGCUCCAGGCCUGAAUGGAUGGACUCAGCGACUGCACCAGUGGCAGCUGGUGACUGUGGACAGUGGUGGACCCUGCUUCUGUGCACCUGCUGCAGGCUCUUUUUAUGAAGGCUUUCAUGAAUUUUAGUAUGUAAUACGCACUGACGACACAUGAUGCUUGGAUGACAGAUGAGAGGGGAUGGCUGAGUCCUGUGGCUGGCCCGUGAUGCCAGGUGGCCCAUGUGCCCAGGGCGCCUGCAGGGCUGCUACAGGGACCUGGUCAGGAGGUGCACAUGGUGCCCUGCCCUCACCCACCCUCUGUGUUUCCCCUUCUUUGAAAAGGUAGAACAGAAAGGAAUAUUUUAAACCUUUUUGGCUUAAACAGAAUUUUAGCAUCAGAACUAGCUUUCUGGAAUUGGAGGCAAACCAUCAAGGUGGUCCCUCUCCAGUCUGGACACGAUGCCAGCAAGGAUGACAUCCUGCCACCUCCUGGAGUUACCCUGGCCUCCUAGGGCCCCUUUUUCUGAUGAAGUCUUAAUGCCCUAAAAGCGCCUCUCUGGACACUGAGGCCCUCUCUGCCUUUCCUGGCCUCCGGCAACAGUUUUUUACAAAGAUUUUUUGCAGUCGAGUCCAUAUGUCCACCCAUUGAUUUUUAAAGCUUUUGUGAUAUUUUAGCAUUUUGAAAGACUUUUACAGUGAGAGUAGAAGGUAGAUUUGGAAUCAUGCAUUUUAGCAAGUGGACUUGUUUAAACAGGAAGCAAGGGCCUUCAGUGUAGCCCAUUCUUGAUCCAGAGCUGUUGCCUGUGACAGCGGUUUCUCUGGAUGUCAAAGGCAGCUGCCUGGUGCCCAGCUUGCUUCUCGACUGGUGGCCCCUAUGGGUGGGUGUGCGAUGGAAAUGUGUUCCUGCCUGAGUCUGAGGCACCAGGGUGUGCUCAAAGGCUGGCCCUGGUGGUGGAUUGGCACCUGUGCAGAGUGCCGUGUGCUUGUGGUGCGCCAUCUGAAGCAAGAGUCCAGCGUUCUGCCGUGUCUGUCCCCCACCAUGCACCCUACAGGCGGUACAGAUGGCGCUUUUUUUUUUUUCUGUCAGGAAAACAAUGUUGGCCUGUGGGCCGCCCACAACAUAUCCUUCCCUCACUACCUGUGUGACCAAGGUUGGCUUCUGUUGACCUUUAAAAAAGAAACCCUCAACUCAAAUUGCUAUAAUUAGACACUUGCUUCUGUCUUGCCUCCUGUCUGCAGCUGUGAAUAGUCAUUUGAAUGUGACUGUUGCCCUUAGCCAGCCAGAUGCGCCUGUGAACCAAAGCUUCGUGCACAUGUGUUCCCCUAAAGGUUGGGGAGCCUCGCUGUGUCUUGCUGUUCCCAGGCACCACCACAGCAGGUGCUGCCAUACUCCUGUGGUCUCUGUGCGCCGCCGCCGCCGCCCCCCCCCCCCCCCCCGUCUGCCAAGCAUGGGUAUGAAUCAUGUGCACACAGCCAUGCUUCAAGGCCGGGGCAGGGGAGCCUGUGCUGAUGCCAUCCAGGGCACUGGGCUGCGCCUGGAAGGCGAGCCUUGAUUGUCUGAACACAUAAAGCAAACUGUCCAGAAGGGAA